GAACUCCAGGCCGCCCUCAGUGAGAGGAAAGCAGCUUACCUGGCUGCCUGGAGGAAGGCCCAGCUGUACGGGGACUGGCGGAAGGAGCAGUUCCAGGCCUUGGCUGUCACUCUGGAUCCACAUGAAGCUAAUUCCAAACUUGCUGUCUCUCAGGACAGGAAAAGUGUGACCUGGAAGGAGACCCGUGUGGACUUAGAGCGUUACUGUGGCGUGUGGGGCUAUGAGGCUAUCACAUCGGGGCGCUGUUACUGGGAGGUGGAGA